rnacentral:rRNA from 1 species
GACGAACGCUGGCGGCGUGCUUAACACAUGCAAGUCGAGCGGUAAGGCCCUUUCGGGGUACACGAGCGGCGAACGGGUGAGUAACACGUGGGUGACCUGCCCUCAGCUCUGGGAUAAGCCUGGGAAACCGGGUCUAAUACUGGAUAUGACUCCAUGACGCAUGUUGUGGGGUGGAAAGCCUUGUGCGGCUGAGGAUGGGCCCGCGGCCUAUCAGCUUGUUGGUGGGGUGANGGCCUACCAAGGCGACGACGGGUAGCCGGCCUGAGAGGGCGACCGGCCACACUGGGACUGAGACACGGCCCAGACUCCUACGGGAGGCAGCAGUGGGGAAUCUUGCGCAAUGGGCGAAAGCCUGACGCAGCGACGCCGCGUGAGGG